AUACCUACCUCUGCAAAUCUAGAACUCUGCCCGUCAAUCUCAGAACACAUCCCUUAAGCUCCUCAAGUCAUACAGACUGAGCUGUGAGCAUAUGAAAAAUAGUAAAAAUAUGAAAAAUCAAAGUAUGGUCUGAGUCAUCCUGAGAUGUCGACCUCUGAGCAAAGACUGAGGUGGCAAACUGCUGAGAUAAAAUGGAGGCAACACACUGGGACAUCAGCUCAAUCUGAUCAUCUGCA
rnacentral:lncRNA from 1 species